rnacentral:misc_RNA from 1 species
GAUGAAGAACGCAGCGAAAUGCGAUAAGUAAUGUGAAUUGCAGAAUUCAGUGAAUCAUCGAAUCUUUGAACGCACAUUGCGCCCGCCAGUAUUCUGGCGGGCAUGCCUGUCUGAGCGUCAUUUCAACCCUCAAGCAACUUCUGCUUGGUGUUGGGGAUCGGCCGUCAAACGCCGCCCCCGAAAUCUAUUGGCGAUCUCGCUGUAGCUUCCUAUGCGUAGUAGUAACAUCUCGCAUCUGGAGAGCGGCGCGGUUAUGCCGUAAAACACCCAACUUCUCAGGUUGACCUCAGAUCAGGUAGGAAUACCCGCUGAACUUAAGCAUAUCAAUAAGCGGAGGA